UACGUAGGGUGCGAGCGUUGUCCGGAAUUAUUGGGCGUAAAGGGCUCGUAGGCGGUCUGUCGCGUCGAAAGUGAAAACCCAGGGCUUAACCCUGGGCCUGCUUCCGAUACGGGCAGACUAGAGGUAUGCAGGGGAGAACGGAAUUCCUGGUGUAGCGGUGAAAUGCGCAGAUAUCAGGAGGAACACCGGUGGCGACGGCGGUUCUCUGGGCCUGUACUGACGCUGAGGAACGAAAGCGUGGGGAGCGAACAGG
rnacentral:rRNA from 1 species